GCCUUGAUCGGCCAGCUGUGAAGCUUUAAAAGGUCUCCCACGUUUCCCAGAUAAAACUUCGCAAAACCAGCCUUUGACUUGUCGCUUGAGGUCGACGGCACCCCACCGAGCUCAGCAGGAGAAGGCCUCGGUGGGAUCGCCGGAGGAGACUUCAGGUCCUGCGAUGGAUCGAAACCUGCUGGUGGUGCUUGAGUUGAGGUCGCGGCGGGUUGGUUGGAAGGCUCUGGAUCCUUUUGGCUUUCCGGGAACAAUUUGAUGGAGAGCGAGGAGGUCCUUGUGGAGGGUUGAGGAGGGGCGGUCAGGAGGUGCGCGGGAGGAGGGGGGGAGGGGCUUGCCGCGGUCUCAACGUUAAGGUGUUCAGGCGGAUCUGGGAUGGUGACGGGGGUCAGUGUCAGACAGGAUACCUUGCGUUCCUGGACUCGCGUGUUAGCCGACGCGUCAUUCGGGACACCGGACGCGAGUCGGAGAGAGUUAGCGCUGCUUUCCGUGUGUGAGGAAACGCUAGUAAAAGUGUAGGACUCUUUUAAAGUCGCUUGCUCUUUGUGGGAGAACAUUAUUUGGCUUCCGGGACUCGGGUUGUCAGCUAAAAGAGUGAGUGAGUUGGAGGCGGAAGGGUUAGCGAUGGUUGGCGUGAAAUGCAAGCUAUCUUUUCGUGAAGGGGGCGAGGGUAUGUGAUUGUCAUCCUUGCGGACCAAAAUCCAAGUUAAAAAAAAUAAAAAACACAUCCGUUUCGAUUAUUGUCACAUGACAAACCAGAAAUCAAAAACUUAAGUGUUCAAGACUGGUAGAGAUUUUUUACCUGGGAUUUUCGGUCCUGCAAGUUGGGCCUGACGCUGCGGAAGCCUUUGGCGGCCAGAGACGAGCUGAUGGAGUCGCCGUUCUUAAGGCCAUCGGUUGCGCUGUGAGACCGCCAAGAACCUGAAGGUCGAGGAGGCUGAAUUAGCAUCGGUAGCCAAACAGAAUAAAACGCAAGAAGACUUACUGUAGUCUGUUGAGUGAGGAUCACCCCCUGGAGAACAGAGACAAAAAAAAAAAGUCAAAGAUUCAAUCCGGAAAAAUUUCAGGACUUGUCCAGUUCUGAGUUACGAGUGGUUAAGAAACAAAUUAAACUUGUAUCCCAAGAA